rnacentral:rRNA from 1 species
GAUGAACGCUGGCGGCGUGCCUAAUACAUGCAAGUCGAGCGAACAGACGAGGAGCUUGCUCCUCUGACGUUAGCGGCGGACGGGUGAGUAACACGUGGAUAACCUACCUAUAAGACUGGGAUAACUUCGGGAAACCGGAGCUAAUACCGGAUAAUAUAUUGAACCGCAUGGUUCAAUAGUGAAAGACGGUUUUGCUGUCACUUAUAGAUGGAUCCGCGCCGCAUUAGCUAGUUGGUAAGGUAACGGCUUACCAAGGCAACGAUGCGUAGCCGACCUGAGAGGGUGAUCGGCCACACUGGAACUGAGACACGUUCCAGACUCCUACGGGAGGCAGCAGUAGGGAAUCUUCCGCAAUGGGCGAAAGCCUGACGGAGCAACGCAGCGUGAGUGAUGAAGGUCUUCGGAUCGUAAAACUCUGUUAUUAGGGAAGAACAAAUGUGUAAGUAACUAUGCACGUCUUGACGGUACCUAAUCAGAAAGCCACGGCUAACUACGUG